AUUGAACGCUGGCGGCAGGCCUAACACAUGCAAGUCGAGCGAGCGGCGGACGGGUGAGUAAUGUCUGGGAAACUGCCUGAGGGAGGGGGAUAACUACUGGAAACGGUAUCUAAUACCGCAUACCAUCAGAUGUGCCCAGGUGGGAUUAGCUAGUAGGUGGGGUAACGGCUCACCUAGGCGACGAUCCCUAGCGGGUCUGAGAGGAUGACCAGACACACGGGAACUGAGACACGGUCCAGACUCCGACGGGAGGCAGCAGUGGGGAAGAUGGCACAAUGGGCGCAAGCCUGAUGCAGCCAUGCCGCGUGUGUGAAGAAGGCCUUCGGGUUGUAAAGCACUUUCAGCGGGGAGGCGUUACCCGCAGAAGAAGCACCGGCUAACUCCGUGCCAGCAGCCGCGUUAUUC
rnacentral:rRNA from 1 species